rnacentral:lncRNA from 1 species
UCGGCCUCCUGGGCGCACCAGCGGCCUCCGCGCAGGCUCCGUGCCCGCGCACGCGCCCUCGCGUCGCGCUCCUGGAGGAGAGACCUGCGCUCGGGCCGGGCUCCGGGCGGUUCUCGAGCUGCAGUUCCAACGGGACUUCCGCGCUUCGGCGGCCUUUCUGACGAGCCGCCGCGCCCAGAGAUGUUCAGGUUGGAGCGACACUUCCCAGAGGGCAGCGGUCACUCCAGAUCUUCGGCUUCCAUUCCGUGUUCGCGCGGUUCUCCCUCUUUGCAGGCUCUAGAUUCUCUUUGUUCUUUCCCAGUAGAGGAAUCCCAAGGAGGACUGAUCUGUUUUGGCAGGUGCAAAACCAUGCCAAGCAGCUGUGAGGAGAGAAGAGGAGGAAGCGCCAGGGAGCCCAGAGCCACCAGACAGUGACGCCACAGAGCCACAGCCAUCACACCCGCACAGACACACACCGUCCUCCGCCGUUCAGGCCCGAGAGUCCCGUGAGGACUGGUGUCCCUACUACUGGCCUCCACGCUGUGAGCGCUUCCACUGCCACCCCUCCUGGUUCACGUCGGGCUCCGAAGUGACUCGCUUCACAGGAUUCCCGCAUCCUGUGCUAACACAUCCACAAAUGAGCUCCACUCACCCUGCAAAGAGGGAGAACCGCGCGAAAACGGAAAUGGAAGCCGAAGAUCUGGAGUGACCGCUGCCCUCUGGGAAGUGUCGCUCCAACCUGAACAUCUCUGGGCGCGGCGGCUCGUCCAAAAGGCCGCGGAAGUCCCGUUGGAACUGCAGCUCGAGAACCGCCCGGAGCCCGGCCCGAGCGCAGGUCUCUCCUCCAGGAGCGCGACGCGAGGGCGCGUGCGCGGGCACGGAGCCUGCGCGGAGGCCGCUGGUGCGCCCAGGAGGCCGAGCAGGGGGGUCCGGCGCCGGCUCCGAGCGUCCGGCCUGUGCGCGCAGAGCCGCGGGGGAGGAUCGGCGGGGCGGCCCCGGGGCGAGAGCGCACGGCGGGUGUGAGCUCUGAGGGCGGGCCCCGGGCGAGUCCCCUCAGGCGGCUGCAGCCUGGGGACAGCAUAUGGGGCAAGCAACUCCUGAUCCCGCCGGGGAUGGGCUGGUUUAUUCAGUGUCUGUUAGCUGCGUU